rnacentral:lncRNA from 1 species
GUGAUGGUGUGACAUGGAGGGCUACUCUGUUCUCUGCUGCUUUAACCUGGUUUGAAUGGCCUACAUCAAUCCUUACAUUUAAUGACAGAAAACUCAGCUUAACCUUGCUGUAAAAUUAUUGAUCAGACACCAUUGCACAGACCAGCCUGCAGAUGUUUUACUUAUACAGUGUGCAAUUAAGUGCAAUGAAGAGACCUGCCCACACCUCUGAUACAGCAAAGAAGCUGUGAAAACUUUUCCUAACAUGAUCCUACUUUGCCUUCUGGAUGAAGAGUAUGACUGAUGCCUUUUCUUCCCCAGUGCAGAAGUAUAUCUGUGGAGUAGAGAGACUAGAUUCUGCAGCACAAGGGAGAAUAACUUCAUUUUAUGAAUAGUGAAUCCUUGUAUAAUGUCAUCUUCACAUAAUCUCUAUUUUGCUGCCCUGAAAGAGAUUUUAUUUCAGUAAAUGUGCAGACCACCACUACAGUGAGACUGUACUGACUAAAAGAAGUGGUGUUACAAGUGUAAUUGUUGUUUUAAAGCACGCUAUUGAAGUGUACUAAUUAUUCUGUUCUUCUAUCUGUCUAAUUAACAGCUCUUGGGUUGCUUAUUUCUGCCACAAAGAAUGGUUUUACCUCAGGUCACCACCACACCAUCUGGCAGAUGUGGGCAUUGUAGCCAAAGCAGACACCUAUGAAUUAUUGUCAUAGUUAUACGUAGGAUACACAUUGUAGUUACAGUCAUGGUUAGGGUAUAAUUCAUAUUUACUUACCCUGAAUACCAAGAGGAUCAUACUACAAUAGUGUAGCCAGCAACAUAUAUAUAUGUGUAUAUUGGCAUAGCCAAACACAGCAUAUAAGCUU